CGAGUUGUCAUUAGGUGGACGCCUACUCCAGAUAACAUGGGAGAGCAUUUCCCAGUGUGCUUUGCUGUCGAAUCAGUAUCUGGGUCUAGAAUCUAUCAGUCUGAGAUGAGGUGUGUUCUAGUGGACGUUGGGAAGGAGCAAAUUAAAUCCAAUGUGAUCUGCAAUGGUCCACAAUGACAGUGGAGGUUGAGAAGUCUACAUUCGCCG